UGCUUUCACCGGGGGUGCCCGCCAAGCGGCGGACUGAGAGAUACCCCAUGAACCUGAUCUGGGUUAUGCCAGCGUAGGAAGUGUGAUGAAUUUAGUUC
rnacentral:ncRNA from 2 species